AAUUAUAAGAGGGUAGAACAGGCAACUGCCGCGCCACUUUGUGGUCUGAUAAAGAGAUGUAGGGUACGCCGUCCUACCUAUAAUU
rnacentral:ncRNA from 12 species